CCUACGGGGGGCAGCAGUGGGGGAUAUUGCACAAUGGGGGAAACCCUGAUGCAGCGACGCCGCGUGUGGGAAGACGGUCCUCUGGAUUGUAAACCACUGUCCCCAGGGACGAAGCUGACGGUACCUGGGGAGGCAGCUCCGGCUAACUACGUGCCAGCAGCCGCGGUAAUACGUAGGGAGCAAGCGUUUUCCGGAAUUACUGGGUGUAAAGGGAGCGUAGGCGGGAUGGCAAGUUGUGUGUUAAAUCUACCGGCUCAACUGGUAGUCGCACUCAAAACUGCUAUUCUUGAGUGAAGUAGAGGCAGGCGGAAUGCCUAGUGUAGCGGUGAAAUGCGUAGAUAUUAGGAGGAACACCAGUGGCGAAGGCGGCCUGCUGGGCUUUGACUGACGCUGAGGCUCGAAAGUGUGGGGAGCAAACAGGAUUAGAUACCCUAGUAGUC
rnacentral:rRNA from 1 species